CCUACGGGAGACAGCAGUGGGGGAUAUUGCACAAUGGGGGAAACCCUGAUGUAGCGACGCCGCGUGGGUGAAGAAGUAUUUCGGUAUGUAAAGCCCUAUCAGCAGGGAAGAAAGAAGACGGUACCUGACUAAGAAGCCCCGGCUAACUACGUGCCAGCAGCCGCGGUAAUACGUAGGGGGCGAGCGUUAUCCGGAUUCACUGGGUGUAAAGGGAGCGUAGACGGCCGUGCAAGCCAGGAGUGAAAGCCCGGGGCCCAACCCCGGGACUGCUCUUGGAACUGUGCGGCUGGAGUGCGGGAGGGGCAGGCGGAAUUCCUGGUGUAGCGGUGAAAUGCGUAGAUAUCAGGAGGAACACCGGCGGCGAAGGCGGCCUGCUGGACCGCGACUGACGUUGAGGCUCGAAAGCGUGGGGAGCGAACAGGAUUAGAUACCCGUGUAGUC
rnacentral:rRNA from 1 species